UCCUAUCAUCUUUGAUGAUGAUGCACAGCUUGACAAAGUUGUUUCAUACUUGUCAAGCUUUCUUGCUGGCUGUAAACACCUGUCUCCUGAAGUGUGCUCCAUGAUCGCCAGGGAUAGGAUUAAAUUCAUCCUGCAUGUGCUGCUUUCAGAGGCAACACUACAGGCUCUGAUAGAAAAAAGGAGCAUGACACAGACUGAGGCUGUGGCAGAAGUUGACCAGGGGCAGAUGGAGGAAAGGUUAGAGUACACACAGUCACUAUUUCUGAAAAGAGCAUACAAUAAGAUAGUAAUAUUAAUAGGGUUGAUAAUUUGUUGAUCUAUGUUUUUUUCAAGUGAGAGGCAAGCCCUACUCAUGCAAAUAAAGAUAGAAAUGGAGAAGCGGGGCCUUCCUUAAAAAAAGAAAGCCAAAGAAAGGUUGCAGAGAAAACGAUGGAUCUGACCUGGGUAAUGUUUCCGCAAAAGAUUCCUGAUUUCCAUCAUUUUCAUUUUCAAAUGUAAAA